UAUGUAUUUAAAGACUUCCUUACAGGCUAUUAUGGAAAACUCUUCCUGUAAAAAUGCAACUCAGAUCAGCAAUGGUCCUACCAAGCUGCCUUCAGUUUUCUAAAUGAAACAGAGGACUGGCUCCUGCUUGAAGCACAUGGAAAUGUUCCCUCCAGGCUUCCCCUCCUAGAAAGCUGCGAUUAACCAAAGCAUGUUUUCUCCAAACUGGGAUGUUAGGACCCAGAGGAUUUUGGAGCCCUUGUUUGAGGUCUUUAUAUUUGCAUCAUUGAUUUACAUUUUUUAAAAUUUCCUUUUUCUAGUAACUAUUUAGUAUUUGGAAGGAUAAUGAAAAAAUGUCAUUCCC
rnacentral:lncRNA from 1 species